rnacentral:lncRNA from 1 species
CAAUGGUUCAAUCACUGCCUAAUCCAAAACAAAAACAUAAAAAUUGGUAUAAGCUGAUUCUAUUCUCACAGCAAGUACCAAAAGUUCUGUAUAAUGUGAAUUUGUCCAGGUAAAUCUUCAGCUAGCAUACUUAAAACUACAUUGAGCAUACCACAAUGGAUUAAGCAAAGUUUAUUCAUAUCAUCAUCCUGACAUGCAUGAAAUAUUUGCCACUGUACUUAACAACCAACAAUCAAUCAUCAAAUAUUCAUAUCAUCUAACAUGUUCUCAAACCAAAUAUAAAUUCAGUGGACAUUAAAAUUUUGACCCAUUUAUUAUGUUAUAGGACUUAGUUCACUGUGUACCCAUGGCUAAACACUAAAAAAACUUCACUAACCAGUGGCGGAUCCAGAAAUUUUCAUAAAUGGGGCCCACUGACUGACCUAAGAGGGGGCCCGCUCCAGUCAGGCUUCAAUGAUUCCCUAUAUAAGCAACC